CCCUACCGGGGCUGGCGAUUGGCUGGGGCCCGGAGCGUGCGCGCGCGGGCCAAUUGGGGGCGCGGGCACCGGCGCCAGCGGCGCGGGGAGGCGGCAGAGCCGGCGGCGGCGGGCGCAGUGCGCGAGGGGAGGAGCGGCCGAGGGGAGGAUGUUCCCGGCGGCGGCGGCCGGGGCGGUGCGGGACAGAGGCACGGCGCGUGGAACCCUGGGCGGCCCAGCGGAUCGCGGCAGUGGGCACGCGGCCAGCUGCGGGCUCUGCGCCGCCCCGCGGCCUCUGAGCGCGGGUCCCUGGCUUUGUCUGGUGCGCCGCCUUCGCGGUGACGGUCUGGGGGCUCCGGGUCGGCGAAGGGUGCGCGCACGACGCCGCGGGGCCCGGGCCCGGACGCGACGCUCGGCAGGGAAGGGUCGGACAAAAAAAGACCAAAUGGCCAAGCAACCUUCUGAUGUAAGUUCUGAGUGUGACAGAGAAGGUGGACAAUUACAGCCCACGGAGAGGCCUCCUCAGCUCAGGCCUGGGGCCCCCAGCUCUGUACAGAUAGAGCCACAAGGUAAUCCUGAAGGCGAAGGGGACCGCUGCCCCCACGGCAGCCCUCAGGGCCCGCUGGCCCCACCGGCCAGCCCUGGGCCUUUUGCUACCAGAUCCCCGCUUUUCAUCUUUGUGAGAAGAUCCUCCCUGCUGUCUCGAUCCUCCAGUGGGUAUUUCUCUUUUGACACAGACAGGAGCCCAGCACCCAUGAGUUGUGACAAAUCAACACAAACCCCGAGUCCUCCUUGCCAGGCCUUCAACCAUUAUCUCAAUGCAAUGGCCUCCAUGCGGCAGUCUCAGGCCCUACCUGCAGACAUGCGUCCGGAGAUGUGGAUCGCUCAGGAGCUGCGGCGGAUCGGGGACGAGUUCAACAACUCCUACCGCAACCCACGGAGGUUAGAGCAAUAGAGGAAGUUGUCGCGUAGUUGUCGUGUGUUCAGGCCGCGUCAGGGCAGUGGGGCAGCGUAUGACACGGAGCUGUGGAGUCUGAAUCCUGGAAGCAGGAGUGAGAGAGGCACAGGUUCGGCCAGUGGCAGCCGCCUGGUGUCUUCUCGCCACGUCAUCGAACAUAAAGUUCAGGUAGUGGAGGCCCAUGGACAGUGUGUUGUGGGACUGUAGAUGGAUGUGUGGCUAAAUGACCUGCACCCACACAGCGUCCUGACGCUUACAGCUCCAGGACUCUGCAGGGGGACAGAAGAAGCCAAGUGAUUUUGAAAGUUAAAUCAAAACAAAGCCACCUGGUGUGUGACAGAUAAAAUCGGACUGUGGUUCGGGAGCCUGCGGGACCCGCCGGCCGGCCGGCUUCCUCGUCUGCUCUGGAAGGAGUUGGGAAGCGCCUCGCUGGGCCUUACCGCCGUCCUGCUCGGGCCACAGGACCUUCUGCAUGUCUACCAGGAAGCAGAAGGCCACCCCCAGAUGGUGGUCUUACGACUGUUGCGUUACAUCCUCCGUCUGGUGUGGAGGAUGCUGUGACGACGGGUUCCCGUGGAGCCGAGAUGUGUGCAGACAUUUCAGUUGUUCAAGCGGACAAGCCCAGCGUCACGGCCCCCUGGCGCCAUUGCUUUGCGGCCAGUGGCGGUCCCAGAGCGGCCGGUGUGGCCUGACACCUGGAGCUGCGUGCGGACUUGACCUUAUCAGUUCCUCGCCACGUGGCAGAGGCUCUAGUGUAGUGUUUGUUAUGAAUGUAAAUGAGAGCGUAUUUUCCUUUUAAAAAUGUUACUAAUCAUGGUUCUUUGGAGCAGGAUUUUAGGCAAGAAUGGUGUAAGAACAGGUUUUUUUAAAAAGGAAGUGGAAAUUUUUAACCAACUCAUAAAUGAAUUUUUACUAAAAAUUUAAGAACCUAUUAUGGAAACUCUCAUGUGGAAACUGAGCCAGCUGAUUUCUAAAGCUGCCUUAGUUUAUUUUUACAGGCUACUGUACAGGACUUUGAAACAUGAGAGGUGUGUAUGAUAUGGCCCCUCCCUCCCUGCCGUUGCCUCUCUCGCCUUCUUUUAAUCAUGAUUACCAAAAAAUUCUUAUGAGAUGCAACUGAUUCAAGGGGUAAAGGGUCUUUUGUCAGCCUGUGUUGAUAUGCCACUGCCACUGUGUAAAUAUUGACUUACCUCCUUAAAUGUAAUUGCAUCCGUGGCAAAAGUGCAGCUUGUCUGUGUGGCUCGUCUUCUCCCGUGUUGCUCCUCUCUCUGUCCUGGGUGCUCAUGCACACAUUUGGUCCAGUGCGUCUUCACGAUUCAAGUGUAACUGGGUCAGAACGUGACUUGGAAUCUGCCCGAGUUGCCCACAGCUCGGCCAGUCUUCGGGGAGCUCACUCACCGGGGAGUGCUCGGUACUGGUUUCCACGUGGGUUGGUGGGCUGGCGUUGAAGUACAGGUGUCCUGAAGAGAGAGAGUGGCGACAGCACAGACACAGUAUCAGGGCCCUUGGCACUGUUGGCUUUUCCGGUUGCAGGCUUUCCCUCAGCACAGGGGGCACUCAGCAUGAGGCCCCAGGGGGCUGGCAGGCCUACCCGCGGCUGAAUUUGGCUGCAGGAGUCCAAGCUGGAGUCCUCGUGGGAAUUGGCACAGGCUGUGGUGGACAGGGCUUUGGAUGGCUGUUUCCUGGGCAUCCUGGCUUUCCGUCCACUUCCGAGUUGAUCUGGUCUCUGAUGCCCACCACUGGGUUCCCGCUCUUCUAUACCCACUUUGAAAUACAGGCUUCAUUCGCUCUGAGCAGCGCCAUGAAAACUCACGAGGCACACGUCCGCAGCGGUCCCUUCUGACAGCUGCUGCUGGUUCUUUUCUCUCGGACAGCUGGGCUUUGUCGGGCCGCCUCUGUGCACCCACUGCUUCCUCCACGCCCACCUGGAGGACUGCAGUGAGGGCACCCACGGGUGACCAGUCAUUUCAAAGGCGGUUAAACAGCGGGGAGGCCCGAGAGGGACCGGUUAGAGAGCAGGGAAGGAAGGUGCCGAUCAUUCUGUGAACCCACAACUCCGACAGUUUUUGAAACCUCAGAUCGUGAAACAGUUUUUUAAGAGAAAUACAUGAUUUUUCAAAUGAGUCAGCAGUGCCAACAACUAUUGCAUUUCCUUUUGGCCCACCAAGGGCCAGCGUUUUCACAUUGUUAAAUUGCAAGGAGAAAUUCAUGUGUCUCUCCAUAGUUUUAUAUAAAUAUAUAUGUAUACAUAUAUGUAUAUACGUGUGUGUAUAUAUAUUUUGCAUAUGCGCUUUCUUUAGGUAGAAAUAUUUGAUCUCAGAUACUUUUCCUUUUUUAAAAUUUCUUUUCCCCCAAAAUCCUUUCUUGGGGUCUUGAAUAUUUUUAAAACUGUUGAGACUGAGCUUGUGUUCUUGGUAGGUCUGGAACCCCCUUGCUGGGGCACCAAGGCCACACCGCUGGAGGUGGUGGUAACGUGGCCGUGGGCCUGCUGGACACACACCAAAGAUGUAUUUGGUUCUGGGCCCAUCCGCUCCCAGGAUCUCCGUACUCAUGUGCCAGUCCCUCUGACUGGAGCACUUUACCCUGUUUCUGGGAGCGCAGGAUGCAGCCCGGGCCACGGGCUCGCUCGCUGCGUGCGCUCCUUUACCUCUGGCUUGGCAGCUGGCCAUGGCCACGCGUGUGAGGAAGUGACUCUUGGACGUGUAGAAGUAUUAAGAACAGGAUGUUGCACCAGGACAUGAGAGGUGACUGGGUGUCUCUGUACUGUACGUAUCUGUGUAUCAAAAUGCUUCCUGCAGAAAGUAUACCUGCAAUGGUAUGCCUUUUCCUUUUUCUUUUCUGUUUUAUUUCUUUGUAGAGAAAAUAACUAGCUCCCUGUCUGAAAAUUUAUGAGAUGCGGGUUUUGUGCCUUGACCACCUCUUCCCAUGCAAGAUUUGUAGAACGUGUCCUGUGACGAUCACAGAAAUGCAAUCAAUGCCCCCCAGUCGCUCCACAGUGAUUCUUGCAGUUACCCAUAGUCCGGCCUAAAAAUGAGUUUAUGAAGAAUUUGUUUUUAGUUGUGGAGAAACCAGGUAAAAAUUCCUUCUGAUUAAAAAAAAAAAAUGUACUCAGUCGAACCUUCUCCUGUUUCCCCUUCUUAAUAUUGUACAUAUUUUGACUAUUUAUUAGAUUAGAUCAUAUUUUACUUACCAACUGAGCCAAAUGUCUGUGUGCAAUUGUCUCCUUUACCUUUCUUGUAAAAUUUUGUACAGCAUAAAUGAGCAAAAAAAAAAAAAAAAAUCACUGUUUUUUACUAAACUUUUUCAGAAUUAAGGAUUGUAAAUAUUGUAGAUUCUUUUUCUGUGUAAUGUGUCCUACUGGUUCAUAGUGCUGUAACUUGUAGACAUAAUGUAUAUUUAUUUUCUGCUUAUUUAAUGUCUUAAUUUCUGUAAAGUGUUGACCUCUGACACGCCCUCCCCUCCUUCCCCCACCCCCCCACCAUCCCAUUACUUGCUUUAACUCUGAGGUGGCGACUGGUCAGCUCACUGCCGGACACAUGGUCUUCCUGGGGUGGCUCUCCAGCUUUGGUUCCUGGUAUAUGGUCAGAUGGGUUUACAUCCUUGGUCUUUGCUGUCCUUUGAUAAAGCUCAUGUUUAGACGCCAAUGAGAGACCAGAAAUUGGGCAGGUUUCAUAAUUCUUCGGGAAAUACCCAAUGACUUUCUAUUGGUUCCAAAACAGCUAGCUUCCCAUGGAAGCAAAUUCUAUUAGCUUCCAGGAUUUGUCUUUAAAAAAAAAAAAAAAAAAGUGUUAUCGGUCGUUGGGACAGAUUGACGCAUUGAAAAUGUAUACCCGACAACUCAGUAUUCAGAGGGCAGGGGGCGGGUGGGAGAGGUUCCUGCUUCCAGACCAACCAGAGGGCCUACCUGCUCGUGCCACUCGCCCCCUGUUGGCAGCCGGUGAGCUGCGCCACGUCGCCUGCUGCGUGGCCUUCGGUGCUUCGAGGUGUGGACUGAAUUGUCCUCAGGAGCUAGUUGUACGGGCCCCUGGCCCAGAGCUGUGGCCCCUCAUUGGGUCCGCCUGCUUCCUUAGGUUGAUGUCCUGCUUCAGGAGAGGUUGGGGGCCCCAUCAGGAUGGGUAUUAAGAUGUGGGAGCUUCAGAGAGACUUUUCUCCUGGUUUGGUGUAGAUGGUCUGUCGUCCCUGCUGAUUUAGCCUGGUGCCUGUGUGUGUUCACUUUGCACAUGCGUGUGUGCAGGGAUGAUGUGUUCACACACGAGGCUAAACCAGCUGGGGUAGCUUCUACUCCAAACAGUGCAGUGUGCAAGAGCAGCCUCAAGGUCCCAGCAAAGUAACUUGACUACUUGUAUUGGGCAGUUCCAGACUUCUGAAGCUCUCCGAGGCCUCUGUCCAGGUCCCGUGACCACUCGUCACUGUGUUGGAACUCAUCAGGUACUCCUGUACAAGAGCACUGAUCUGUGUGGAUACUGAUUCAUCACUAAUGUGUUCCUAGGACCCAGCAUAUUGUAGCAUUUGUAUUGCAAUUUCCCUGGCUCACUUUGGUUUGCACUGAUGAAUUUUGACAGGGUAAUUGCCACUUUAUUGUGCAAUACUGCUGUAAAUAACUGCAGAUUUUUUUUAAGAAACUCAAUCUUUUUAUGUUCUUACUGAAUUUUAUAUAAAUAAAACUUUUCAACUGGU